GUUUCAGGAGGGUAUUGGCCAGGUCAAAGGAGAGGGUGGAGGAAAAGAGCCACGAAAUAACCGGGAGACAAGCUUUCGGAGGCUUUUGACUGACUGGAUGUGGGAAUGUUGUGGAAGACUUCUGGCCUGCCAUUUCCUGAGAACGGGACUGCUGAGAGAGGAGCUGGGAGGAGCACUGCAAAUUUCACUUUGGACACAGUGGCAGCAUGGAGAGGUGGGGCCUUUAAGAGGUGAUUGGAUCAUGAAGGCUCUAUUCCCACUAAUGAAUGGAUUCAUCAUGGGAGAACUGGCGGCUUUAUAAGAGAGGAAGAGAGACCUGCGCUAGCACCUUAGCACGCUCAGUCCCCCUGCCAUGUCAUGCCCUGAACCCCUCAGGACUCUGCAGAGAGUUCCUACCAUCAAGAGGGCUCUCACCAAAUGCAGCCCCUCAACUUUGGACUUCUCAGCCUCCAGAGCUGUAAGAAAUAAAUUCCCUUUCCUUAUAAAUUACCCAGUUUCAGAUAUUCCUUGUUUUUAAUUUUUAAUUUUUUUUUUUUUUUGAGACAGAGUCUCACUCUGUCGCCUAGGCUGGAG
rnacentral:lncRNA from 10 species